UACGAAGGGGGCUAGCGUUGUUCGGAAUCACUGGGCGUAAAGCGCACGUAGGCGGAUUGUUAAGUCGGGGGUGAAAUCCUGAGGCUCAACCUCAGAACUGCCUUCGAUACUGGCAAUCUCGAGUCCGGAAGAGGUUGGUGGAACAGCUAGUGUAGAGGUGAAAUUCGUAGAUAUUAGCUAGAACACCAGUGGCGAAGGCGGCCAACUGGUCCGGUACUGACGCUGAGGUGCGAAAGUGUGGGGAGCGAACAGG
rnacentral:rRNA from 1 species